rnacentral:rRNA from 1 species
AUUGAACGCUGGCGGCAGGCCUAACACAUGCAAGUCGAACGAGUGGCGGACGGGUGAGUAAUGUAUGGGAAACUGCCUGACGGAGGGGGAUAACUACUGGAACCGGUUGCUAAUACCGCAUAACAUCGGAUGUGGCCAGAGGGGAUUAGCUAGUAGGUGGGGUAAAGGCUAACCUAGGCGACGAUCCCUAGCUGGUCUGAGAGGAUGACCAGCCACACUGGAACUUAGACACGGUCCAGACUCCUACGGGAGGCAGCAGUGGGGAAUAUUUCACAAUGGGCGCAAGCCUGAUGCAGCCAUGCCGCGUGUAUGAAGAAGGCCUUCGGGUUGUAAAGUACUUUCAGCGGGGAGGCGUUACCCGCAGAGGAAGCACCGGCUAACUCCGUGCCAGCAGCCGCGGUAAUUC